AAAAGAAAUAGAACUGCACAAGGCAACAUUAAAUACAAACAUAUGUAAUUUUAGGUUCAUCAGAAAAUAAUGCAAAAUCAAAAUUUUUGGUUACAAAUAACUUCUCAAAUUAUCUUAUCUAAAAGGGCACUGUCCUCUUUACUAACAACAACAGAUAACAAAUACAAUUAAAUAGAUUAAAAAGCAAAGGUACUUGUAAACAUUUUUAUGGCUGUAUGCAAAUUUUCCACCUGCUCUUUGUACAAAAGUGAAGUCUGUGGGUCUGUAAGCGAAAGUCGAAUUCAGCUUAAUAACAAACAUGAUCUUUUCAUCGGCUCUACUACUGCUGGCAGCAGCUGCUUCCUGUGGGGUUUUCUGUGUUGAGCUCACUCAACCUCCAGCUAUGAUUGUAAAACCUCAAGAAUCUUUCUCCAUCUCCUGCACAAUAACUGAAUCAAGCUACUGCAUUCACUGGAUAAGACAACCAGCUGGAAAAGCACUGGAGUGGCUUGGAAGGAUCUGUAGUGGUGGUGACAUUAUAAUUAAAGAUUCAGUUAAAAACAAGAUCAGUUUUACACAGGACACUUCAAAAAACACAGUGUUUUUACAAGGAAGAAAUGUUCAGGCUGAGGACACAGCUGUGUAUUACUGUGCAAGACAAUCACAGUGACAAAACAAACCACAGCUCAGUGCAAAAACAUCUCAU